AUUGAACGCUGGCGGCGUGCUUAACACAUGCAAGUCGAUCGGUAACGCGGGGGCAACCCUGGCGGCGAGAGGCGGACGGGUGAGGAACGCUUGGGAAUCUGCCUAUCAGCGGGGGACAACACGGGGAAACUCGUGCUAAUACCGCAUACGCCCUACGGAGGAAAGCCGGGGACCGCAAGGCCUGGCACUGAUAGAUGAGCCCAAGCCGGAUUAGCUAGUUGGCGGGGUAACGGCCCACCAAGGCGACGAUCCGUAGCUGGUCUGAGAGGACGAUCAGCCACACUGGAACUGAGACACGGUCCAGACUCCUACGGGAGGCAGCAGUGGGGAAUAUUGGACAAUGGGGGAAACCCUGAUCCAGCGACGCCGCGUGGGUGAAGAAGGCCUGCGGGUUGUAAAGCCCUUUCGGUAGGGACGAAAGCUCUCGACCUAACACGUCGGGAGGUUGACUUAACCUACAGAAGAAGCACCGGCUAACUCUGUGCCAGCAGCCGCGGUAAAAC
rnacentral:rRNA from 1 species